UUUCGCCUUCAUUCAUUCCCAUAUCAUGUAUGGUAUCGCUGCUUGGGGGAACACGUAUGACUGUCAUCUAUCACCCAUUCAGAACAUACAAAAUCAGGCGAUCCGCAUUAUCACUAAUAGCUCACGAUACUCCAGUGCAGGCCAUCUACUCCAAGACAACAAAAUCCUACCUGUUCAUGCACUGUAUGGUUGUUGAAAUCAACACGGCGAAAAAACGAGGACGCGGGAAGAACAAAUACACGCCACUGCACCGUCUCGCAACUAACCUUAUAAGAAAGCCCACCAUUAGAAAGAAACCAAAGUUCAUCAGUCUUAAUGCAUCCCAUGCUGGACGUAUCGGCGCAUGUGUACUGGGAGCGAAGCACAGCAGGACAAAGAUGAACAAGAGGUCAAAGAGAGCAUGUGCCCGUUCAUGAUCACAGUUAUUUCUGUUCUCCCAUCGCAAACCAAUUCUCUGCUUAAACAGCUCCACUGUUAAUAUCUGAAAAAGGUUUUCACAUGCCCAAUCUUUUACUACGUUCCAAAUGAUCUUUCAUUUUGUUCCUAAAUAUGUGCACCAUCUGAAUUUCAAAGCAUUUUUUAGCAAAAUAAAGGUAUUUUGACAAUUGCGAUCUAUCCAUCUAUCUAGCUGCCUGUGUUAGGGUGCUCGGGUGAUCACCUCCUUUCCUAGUACGUUCCAAAACUGGCAUAUAAGAGUAUGAGUGUAAGACCAACAUGACUGACGCGUUGUGGCUUGAAUGACAUGAAAUACCUGUCGGGUAAACCAUGAAACCUUUUCCCGUACACAUCUGGUGCAUACCCAUGACCCAUGAAAUUUGGUCGUGUACCGCAGAUUAUAAGCCCACAGUAAGGCUUUAUUCUCAAGUAUAGCUAAAACAGACAUUGGAAAGCUUAUCAUGAUAACUUUAAAAACCUCAUAUGAAAAAACAAAAACUGCUGCCUGUUUCAGUGACAAUGCCGGAGAGUAAAAUAUUUUAAAACCAUACAGAAUAAAAAUCACAGUUAAAGCCAAAAGUGAACCCAGGCAUUUUGUGAAGUAGCCAAUUUUUCUACCACAGAGCCACAUGACUACUUAAAGCUACAUCCACCACGGCGGAUCAGGGGCUAAGGUGCUUACCUGCCGACCCGAAGUUCGGGAGUUUGAUACUGGCCACGGCAGUUACAUCUGUACAACUUGUUACAAUGGAACAAGCGAGUAUGCCUACGAAGAGUUAUUAUUAUUGACAAAGUGUUAGCCACAACGAGCUGGUUCAGGUAGAAACGCGGCAAACACGAACCACACGAACAUCGUCUUUUUUCACACUGGCACAUAGAUGGCACCGCUUUGCUCUGGUACAUAUUAUUUUCUUUGGAAGAGGGUGCUUAAUGUAUGAAAUCAGUGCCUUACAACGUCUUAAUUUUGAAAGCUUGAUUACCACGUGUAUUCAACUUCAUAGGAAAGAUAUGCCUUAUUUUUAUCGUGCUUCACAUUGCUACAGGGGGCAGGAGCAGGCGCACUGUUGUUUAUACUAUGGUAUACACUGUAAUCUAUUGCAGAUAGAUUUAUUGUCCUCUGUGGUCUCUGAUGCACCCAAAAAUACUCAUACAUUUAAAGCCUCCCAUGUUGGGUGCCUUGUCUAGAACUUCAUGCUUGCUAUGGCAAAGGGGCUAAGAAAGCAUGUGUUCCUAGUAAACAUCUAUAAAGUAGCUUGUAACGAGCCUGUAAUCAGUGCAACUUAUUUCAUAUGACUACCAUGUUGAACGAAUCACUGGCCUUCUUGCUGAAUGAGUUUGUAACAACGAAGAGUUUGUAAUUUGUUCGCAGUGCACAUGAAAAAAGCUAGUUUCAUCGAUCUCUUGCUUGUCAGCACCAAUGUAGAAUGUGACAUUCUUGUGUGCCUUCAAAUAAACUGAUAUUCCUAA